rnacentral:lncRNA from 1 species
CCGGCCCGUAGUGGAGGUGACUUUCCUGCGCAGCGCCGCUUCUGAGGGCGGAGAACCCACAGGGAGUGCGACCCCUUUGCACGCUGUGAGUGGGCAACUGUCCGAGGGACUCGAGCCGAUCGAAGGCUGGACGCCCUAUAGGGCUCUUGGCAGUCCACGAAAGACCUGGAGUCCGCCUCCCCAUUUCUCCGGUCGGUGAGUGGCAGGAGGAAAUCGCCAAACAUGUUUUCCCGCUUUGCCUCCCCAACUCGGAAACUUGCAACUUGCCGUGUCCUGGAGGUUGAGACAAUUUGGGGUCUCUUGGCUGCCGUCCAACAGAUUUAUCUCUGAGGGCAGUGUCCUUGGUGAGAGGUCCAAGUAGGUGUGGGCGACAUUGUCCUCCAUCUCAUGAGGGAGCAGCCCUGCACACUAGGGCCCAAAACUCUGCGAAGGAGCUUGGAAGUUCUUCAUCCGUUCCACUUGUUUUGCUACUCCACACACCCUUCUAGGACAUGUUGAUUGCCAACUGCUCUGUGCAGCUUUCCCAUAGCUGUCUGUUCCCGUGCAUUUCGGAGCACCAAGCAAAUACGAGCAGAGAGACCUGGAAAAAAAAAUGAUGAAGACAGUAUUAAUGAUAAAAUUAACAUGGCUGAGUGAAUUGUCAAUGCAAGUUCCUUUACUAACUCUUUGUUAAGUUUUGCUUUGUACUCCUUACAUCCUCUUUCUCUUAAGCCAUUGUUUUAAUUUCUUCUCGUUAUCAUUUUUAAAAGUAACAGAAAUACAGCUUUCUUCCUACCUUCACGAUUGACUUGGUGGAGGUUGGGUUGCAAAGAGGAAGCAGUAAGAAAAAAUAAUUAUUCUAUACAUUCACAAGUCCUUCAAGGCACAAAAUAAAAGUAAGAAAUAGAAAAUAUGUCCUUUCUCCUAAUAAAGGUCUUUAUAAUAAAAUUUAAAUGAAGUUUUGUGUUUCAUAACAGCUUCCCAAAUACUGUUGUAGAUACUAAAAUGUGCCUGUAUGUAUUUCCUUCCACAAUAAUAAUAGUAAUAAUAAACUUUUUUAGGUCCAAAUUAAACAUUUCUCAGCUUAAAUUUCUAUCCUCAAUCCAACAUUUAUUAUAUCAAAACUU